UGGGAACGUACCUUUCGGUUCGGGAUAACCCAGGGAAACUUGGGCUAAUACCGGAUAUGUCCUUAGGGAGAAAGAUUGAUUUGCCGAGAGAUCGGCCCGCGUCUGAUUAGCUAGUUGGUGAGGUAAAGGCUCACCAAGGCGACGAUCAGUAGCUGGUCUGAGAGGAUGAUCAGCCACACUGGGACUGAGACACGGCCCAGACUCCGUACGGGAGGCAG
rnacentral:rRNA from 1 species